rnacentral:lncRNA from 1 species
CGAGAGACCAAGGAGGCCCACAGAGUUAGAGUUACAGAGACUGCUCAGCAGUUGACAGAGGUGAGUGGAACAGAACUUUAUUUUAAAAGUUAAGACCUGUUUUAGCAUGAUUCAUGCAUCAUUAAUGCCAUGUUUAUGUAGGAUGCUUUGCAUUAGUAUUCACCAAGUUGAUGCAUUUCAUUAUUACUUGUAUAUGUGGAUUGGACCGAGGCGAUCUCAAUAGCCCAUAAGUCUGUCAUUAUUGUAUGUCCUGUGUGAGCUCCUUUGGGGGCCGGGCAUUUACCUUGGAUGAGUCCUGUGAGAGCCCUUAUAGGGUCGGGCACCAUGAGUAGUUAGUGAAAGACCUGUGUGAGCUCCUUUGGGGGCCGGGCACUGAC